GACGAACCGUGCGAACGUUGUUCGGAAUCACUGGGCUUAAAGGGCGCGUAGGCGGACGACCAAGUCAAGGGUGAAAUCUUUCGGCUCAACCGGAAAACAGCCCCUGAUACUGGCCGUCUUGAGGGAGGUAGGGGCAUGCGGAACUUCCGGUGGAGCGGUGAAAUGCGUUGAUAUCGGAAGGAACUCCGGUGGCGAAAGCGGCGUGCUGGAUCUCUUCUGACGCUGAGGCGCGAAAGCCAGGGGAGCAAACGGGAUUAGAAACCCGCGUAGUCC
rnacentral:rRNA from 1 species